UUGUCCGGAUUUAUUGGGCGUAAAGAGCGUGUAGGCGGCCAGACAGGUCCGUUGUGAAAACUCGAGGCUCAACCUCGAGAUGUCGAUGGAAACCGUCUGGCUAGAGUCCGGAAGAGGAGUGUGGAAUUCCUGGUGUAGCGGUGAAAUGCGCAGAUAUCAGGAGGAACACCGGUGGCGAAGGCGGGUCUCUGGGCCGAUACUGACGCUGAGACGCGAAAGCGUGGGGAGCGAACAGG
rnacentral:rRNA from 1 species